CUUGCAAAUACACGUAAAUUUACGGGGAAAAAUGAAAGAAUCUCCGCUGGGGUGCCAUUGAAUUUUCUUCUCCACAAUGCCGAGAAAUAUCAAUCAAAGCAAUCCAAGUAAACAAUGGCUUGGUCCUUAGGAACAUGCAUUGAGUACAAAAAAUCUAGUGGCUAAUUUCAGAGAGUUCGGAUGUGAAAAGGCAACCUAUAGAAGGCUUCAAUCUCAGAG
rnacentral:misc_RNA from 1 species